rnacentral:snRNA from 1 species
UUUCUCACUUCAGCAAAAAGUAUAUGAAAAUUGAAAAGGUACAAAGAAGAUUAGAAUGGGCCUUGCACAGCAGUUAUGCACAAAUUGAUGGAGAUUUCAAGUUAUU